GACGAACGCUGGCGGCGUGCUUAACACAUGCAAGUCGAACGGAGAUAAUAGUAAUAUUAUCUUAGUGGCGGACGGGUGAGUAACGCGUGGGCAACUUGCCUCAGACUGGGGGAUAACACAGGGACACUUGUGCUACUACCGCAUAACCACAUCGUAGGACAUCCUAUGAUGAUCAAAGGAGUAAUCCGGUUUGAGAUGGGCCCGCGUCCGAUUAGCUAGUUGGCGGUGUAAUGGACCACCAAGGCGACGAUCGGUAGCCGAACUGAGAGGUUGAUCGGCCACAUUGGGACUGAGACACGGCCCAGACUCCUACGGGAGGCAGCAGUGGGGAAUAUUGCACAAUGGGGGAAACCCUGAUGCAGCAACGCCGCGUGAAGGAUGAAGGUUUUCGGAUUGUAAACUUCUUUGAUUGGGGACGAAUAAUGACGGUACCCAAAAAACAAGCCACGGCUAACUACGUGCCAGCCGCCGCAGUAA
rnacentral:rRNA from 1 species